CCUACGGGAGGCAGCAGUGGGGAAUUUUCCGCAAUGGGCGCAAGCCUGACGGAGCAACGCCGCGUGAGGGAUGAAGGCCUCUGGGCUGUAAACCUCUUUUAUCAAGGAAGAAGAUCUGACGGUACUUGAUGAAUAAGCCACGGCUAAUUCCGUGCCAGCAGCCGCGGUAAUACGGGAGUGGCAAGCGUUAUCCGGAAUUAUUGGGCGUAAAGCGUCCGCAGGCGGUCUUGUAAGUCUGUCGUUAAAGCGUGGAGCUUAACUCCAUUUGAGCGAUGGAAACUGUAAGACUAGAGUGUGGUAGGGGCAGAGGGAAUUCCCGGUGUAGCGGUGAAAUGCGUAGAUAUCGGGAAGAACACCAGUGGCGAAGGCGCUCUGCUGGGCCAUAACUGACGCUCAUGGACGAAAGCCAGGGGAGCGAAAGGGAUUAGAUACCCCUGUAGUCCUGGCCGUAAACGGUGAACACUAGGUGUCGGGGGAAUCGACCCCCUCGGUGUCGUAGCCAACGCGUUAAGUGUUCCGCCUGGGGAGUACGCACGCAAGUGUGAAACUCAAAUGAAUUGACGG
rnacentral:rRNA from 1 species